UCAAUUUCCUCUGAGGAUUGGGAUUUUUGCAGUGCUUUUCAAGUUUAUUUAGUGUGGUUUUGCUAAUUUCAAGGUGAUUUUGGACAAAAUUUGGUGCAGGAGUAAGGAUGAAUGGUUUAGAAUGGAUUUUUAGUUGAUAUCUUGAAUUAUUUCUAGAAGGAUUUUGCUCUUUACUCUUUGAUGAAUUUAGCAGAAAGUCUUUUAGAAUGAAAUUUAAGCAUUAUGCUCUUUAGUGGACCGAGUUCUCUAGGAAAAACUAGAAGAUCACAUGGAAAACAUGAACUAGAUUGAGCUCUGUAUUCUGUAAUAUGGUUAAAUGUGUAUGCAUAUUUGCCUUAUGUAUGACCCUUACCUCGUAAUUCUUUACGACAAGUUUGAAUUCUAACAUUCUGGUGCGCUUGCCUUCUUAAAACGAUUACAAGGUGUGGAGAGCCUAAUGGCAUAGAACCUUUGUGGAGAGUCCAUGCAUGCAGCUCCAGGAGUUGUCAGAGUUGUCAGGCACCUGGACUAACGGGAUAGUGAUUUGAUUCUUAUAUCUAAAAGAGAGGGCUCAGAGCAUAGCAGGUUUGUGAAUGCAUGGACCUAAUUCAGCAAAGGCAAAUGCCAUACUAAGCAUAGUCAAAUGAAAUUACAUAGAUCCCUCUGAUUUGGAAGGAUGACAAAGCAUGACCUGGAGCACAUGGUGAAUGCUAUUUACAAAACUAAAUCAUAGUGCGAACAAGCAAUGUGAUUGCCAGUGAAUUUAUUGCUCAACAUUAUUUGCAACACUGUUAGCAGUUUUAAUAAUAUAACAAAAUCUUAAUAAGAACAACCAACAUUUUAUGCUCAAACUCAUAAGAUAGAAGUAAUAUGAGCCUUUGGAUGGUAGGGCUCAGAGAAAGAUUGGAUUGCACAUUUGGACAUUCAUUCAAACUCAUGAUUAUAGGCUUAUAGUUUUUUUUUUUAACUAAUUACAUAAAUUUAUUUUCUUUA